GAGUGGUAGAAAGCUAGUUAUCUUUUAUUAAACAAAAAACGUUUCAUCAACAGCUACCCCAGAAGCCAGGGACACUUUAGAACUUAGAAGGAAUGUACAAUAAUGAUUACACUUUACAUUAAACAGCAUGAAGUUUAGAAGGAUCCCACGUGAAGUGUAUGCAGUGUUUGUUUAUGAAGGUCUCCAUUACAGAAGACCUCAGCUGAGAGGAAGUGGGAUGCCGGAGUCUCACUUUGCUGACCUGGCUUUCGACGAGCACAAUAAUUCACAAUAACAGAAGAAAGGAAGGCUCUGGCGCCAUAACUCAGUGAAUAUCCUCUGGAUUCGUCUCUCCUACAAGAUACAAUAAUAUACCCUUUUUUGGCCCUCUCCCAACUUUCCAUUUGAAAUAGGAUUAAAAUCAGUUUUCAGAGUGGCUUACUCAGGAAUUAACUAACCAAUCCCUGGAUAA
rnacentral:lncRNA from 1 species